rnacentral:lncRNA from 1 species
AUUCACCUUAUAUUCUUCCAUCCCAUCACUAUUUGCAGUCCCCAAAUUUUGAUCUCUUUUAGCCGGUGCCUGAAUAAUAGAGAGAGCUAGAGGCAAAUGCAUAUUACAACCUUCACAUGGUGAGGAUCUAAGAACCAUUCAUUUGGUCCCCAAACGGUCCCUUCCCUUCUCAUAAGAUUCAUCGAGAGAAAGUGAAGUCUCUAAUGUAAGGUACAGACAUGUAUGGAGCAGCAACAACGUGUCGUGGACCAUCAUGCUUGCUCUUAUCUUGGAGAUUUU